ensembl:lncRNA
GUUAACUAGAAGUGGCAGCAUGGCAAACAGAAAAUGGGGACUCCAAGGACACUGAUUUUGAGACCUGGCUCCACCAAUCUGCUUACUUUUCUGGAAUAAGUAACUGAGUCUCUUUGAACCUUAGCUUUCUUAUCUGUAAAAUGGACACUGCAUAUUGGACACUCAAGACAGAUGAAGACAACAUGAAAGGACAGAAGAAUGAUAGGAAGGAGAGGAGAGAGAAAUGGAAAGGAAAGGAAAGAAACGUGAGCAGGCCCUAAAAAACUGCACCAAGGAGGGUAGAGAAAAGUCUUCCUUGCCAACAGCUCCAGGUAGAGGAAUAGCCCUUGCAGAAGUGUGAGGGUGUGAGGGAGAAGCAGAGUGCACCCGAAGCACAGUGAGAGAUGGAGUGCGGCUGAGGCAAGGGAGAGCGUGGGCACGGCAAGAAAUGAAGCUGCGCUGCUGUGACAGUCAGCCAUGAAGGCGCCGAGGACUGUCACAAAUGUGCCUUAAUC